ACAACGUCUCGAAAUUCGGAUCUCUUCUCUCCGUUAGCUGCGUAUAAGAUUUGGCAGCAUCCAGGACAUGGUCGAUGAUGAUAGGACAACACCUAACUGUAGCUAAAAUUGGUUUUCCAAAACCGACCUAUCGUCGUGCGAUUUAUCAAAGACGAAAACUUUCUUGAAAUCGUGGCUCUAAAUAUAAGGUCUCUGUUUUGAUACAAUUUUAUUGUUUUAUACAAUG